GUUGAAGUGCCUGAAAUGAAAGGGCCAUUUUGAUGGGAUGGUUAUGGAUGAAUUUCCCUUCAAUU
rnacentral:tRNA from 1 species